rnacentral:rRNA from 1 species
UACGUAGGGACCAAGCGUUGUCCGGAAUCAUUGGCGUAAAGAGCGUGUAGGCGGCUUGUUAAGUCUUGCGUGAAAUCUCGGGGCUCAACCCCGAGCGGUCGUGAGAAACUGGCAGGCUAGAGUGCGGGAGAGGAGAGUGGAAUUCCGUGGUGUAGCGGUGAAAUGCGCAGAUAUCAGGAAGAACACCCGUGGCGAAGGCGGCUCUCUGGAACGCAACUGACGCUGAGACGCGAAAGCGUGGGGAGCAAACAGG